UUAAUAAAAAUCAUAUGAUGGUGAAUUGUAAAUUCACAUUAGAGCACUUUUAACC
rnacentral:tRNA from 1 species